ACAUGCCUACAACAUAGCGUUAAUGCACUGGAUUCCAUUAUAACUCCAUAGUUAAGUGCGCUCGGUCUAAAGUAGUACUGGGAUGGAUGAUCGCUUGGGAAGUACUAGUAUUUUACAUGCC
rfam:Picea glauca, whole genome shotgun sequence.